rnacentral:rRNA from 1 species
GACGAACGCUGGCGGCGUGCUUAACACAUGCAAGUCGAACGGAAAGGCCCUGCUUUUGUUGGGUGCUCGAGUGGCGAACGGGUGAGUAACACGUGAGUAACCUGCCCUUGACUUUGGGAUAACUUCAGGAAACUGGGGCUAAUACCGGAUAGGAGCUCCUGCUGCAUGGUGGGGGUUGGAAAGUUUCGGCGGUUGGGGAUGGACUCGCGGCUUAUCAGCUUGUUGGUGGGGUAGUGGCUUACCAAGGCUUUGACGGGUAGCCGGCCUGAGGGGGUGACCGGCCACAUUGGGACUGGGAUCCGGCCCGGACUCCUACGGGGGGCAGCAGUGGGGAAUAUUGCACAAUGGGCGGAAGCCUGAUGCAGCAACGCCGCGUGCGGGAUAACGGCCUUCGGGUUGUAAACCGCCUUCGCCUGUGACGAAGCGUGAGUGACGGUAAUGGGUAAAGAAGCACCGGCUAACUACGUG